GGUAGGCAGUGACGUAAGUUCCUAGCAGGAAGUUAGAUUUGCGAUUCCCUGAAGGUGGCACGGUAGACGACAGUGCGAGGUGGUGUCUAAGGAAUCUAACUGUGAGCAGACGUUUGGACUUGCGUGGUGUCGUGUUCAAAGUUGAACUAUUGCUGCUGUAUUUCUCGUGUUGUCUCACCCCAACUAAGAUCUGCAAAGCGAAUGCAGACCCUGGAAUGAAGACUAGACAUCUUAACAGACCAUUACAACUUCUCAGACACACUCUUAAACACACUGUUACUGGAGCCGGUUCAACAGGAGCUGUAACCUGAAGUGGUGUGACUUCACACAAAAGUGUAUAUAGUGUAUUGUAGUGUAUAUACUAUGAACUGUAAACAUUGGAGCCAUUGGCAUCUUAUCGAGUUGUAUGUAAAUGCUAUGAGAACUAAAAUAAUAGGAGUUGUUAGCGCAAGAUGAUGGCUAUGUGAUGGUUUCCAGACACAGAACUGCACCUGAAUGGCACUCACUGCCUUUCACAGAGCAGGGUACUUGGAAAAACAGCACAUAUUGUUUGUCUGUUGAAACACAAUGGACAAAGAUUGUUUGUGGUAUGUGUGUGUGUCCUCGAUCUGUGUUGUGCUUUGGAACCCCCCACAGGACAGCUUAAGCAAAGCGGUUCUCUCAGUCUCAUUCCUGAGAGGAUCAAUUUGACUUGUUCUACAGACAAUAAUGCUGACAAAUAAAGAAGUUUACGACAGUAUUCUGUUCUGCGGUGCACAAGGGUAGUAAGUGUGCAUCUGUGUGUGUCUGUGUGUGGGUGUGUGUAUGUAUUUGUGUACGUGGCUUAUGUUUCUGAAACAGAAGUAACUGUGACUUUUAAUCUGAGAUUAAAAGAGCUUGAUUCAGAAUCAAGAGUUUCUGUGCGAGUCAAAACCUAGACAGAAGUGAGACUGAAUGGUUGGUUCUCUCCAUUGUGGGUUUGCUUGCCCAGAAGAUCUGGUUAUGAUGUUGUGUUCAUCAUGUGAGUGGAAUAAUCAAGCAACAGUAUUUUAUUUUCCAUUUAACAAUCAUGCAAAUGACAAUGAUGAUGUAAGCUCUACUGUCUG